AAACAAUUGAUUUCAAAAGAAAUUAAUAAAGCAGAACACGAAUAUAUGAAUAUGCCCGCCCCCCAAUUAUCGUUCUGGCUACGCCACUGAACAACUGCUGCAUUGAACGAACACGUAAAACGAUCUGCGUUACAAGCAUGAAAGUGGUACAAUUGUCCCGAAGCUGCAAGAGUAGCGCUGGAACCCACACACUGGGCUCCCGCCAGUCGAUGCCCGACGUAUCCUAAGUGACUAGUAAAGAUCUGAUUUGUUCUGGAUGCACCAAAUAUGUGGUUGGUAGAUGCAAAUGCAAUAAGAGUGUACGGAGCUGUGUGUUUGUCAAGCGAAAUAUUAGAUAAUGCCAAAACACCCAUGCUUGGUUAAAAAGUAAAAAAUUUCAAUUUCGCAUCGUUCACAUUUGAUCUUUAAAUAAGUUACCUUUGAGACAUUGCAAUUCACUUAUAAUUGUGGGCAAAGUCCCAUACGUUUGUGAGCGUUGCCGUGAUUUAUUUUUCACCAAAAAGACCACACAAGGCGAAGGUGUGUUUUUGAUAGCAAGAGCUACCGUAACAUUUAAACAUUUUGCAAAAUGUUAUCACAGUUAAGAUACAUGUGUAAGUUGCUAAAAUAUUAUCUUUGUUGCUGCCAAAUAAACAGCAUGCAUUAACAGAUAGCAAAAUAUAUCCAG